UUGAGCUCCCCACUUCUUGAGGUGGGUGAUUUCAAAACCGUGUUUACAUUACCUUUGUUGCUUUGGCGGGCCGCCUUCGGGCGUUGGCUCCGGCUAACUGCGCCCGCCAGAGGACCCAAACUCUUUGUUUAGUGAUGUCUGAGUACUAUAUAAUAGUUA
rnacentral:misc_RNA from 1 species